rnacentral:rRNA from 1 species
UGCCAGCCGCCGCGGUAAUACGGAGGGGGCGAGCGUUAUUCGGAAUUACUGGGCGUAAAGGGUGCGUAGGCGGCCCAUCAAGUUAGACGUGAAAGCCCCGGGCUCAACCUGGGAAUUGCGUUUAAUACUGGUGAGCUAGAGUACGAGAGAGGAAAGUGGAAUUCCUAGUGUAGAGGUGAAAUUCGUAGAUAUUAGGAAGAACACCAGUGGCGAAGGCGACUUUCUGGCUCGUAACUGACGCUGAGGCACGAAAGCGUGGGGAGCAAACAGGAUUAGAUA